rnacentral:piRNA from 1 species
GGGUUGAAAAUGAGAACACUGUCUG